rnacentral:rRNA from 1 species
CCUGGUUGAUCCUGCCAGUAGUCAUAUGCUUGUCUCAAAGAUUAAGCCAUGCAUGUCUAAGUACAGGCCGAUCUACGGCGAAACCGCGGACGGCUCAUUAAAUCAGAUAUAAUUCAUUGGAUCUGUACAACCCACUUACUUGGAUAACUGUGGUAAUUCUAGAGCUAAUACAUGCCUUUAGAGACUCUGACAGCAAUGGAAGAGCGCUUUUAUUAGUUCAAAACCCUUCGGACCUUGGGCCAAGAGAUUUGGUGAAUCUAAAUAACUUUUGCUGAGCGCACGUUCCUCGAAUCGGCGCCGCAUCUUGCAAGUGUCUGCCUUAUCAGCUCUCGAUUGUAGGUUAAACGCCUACAAUGGCUAUAACGGGUAACGGGGAAUCAGGGUUCGAUUCCGGAGAGGGAGCCUGAGAAACGGCUACCACAUCUAAGGAAGGCAGCAGGCGCGCAAAUUACCCACUCCCGGCACGGGGAGGUAGUGACGAAAAAUACUGUUGCGAGACUCCAUCGAGGCUUCGCAAUUGGAAUGAGUACACUUUAAAUCCUUGUACGAGGAUCAAGUGGAGGGCAAGUCUGGUGCCAGCCGCCGCGGUAAUUCCAGCUCCAUUAGCGUAUAUUAAAGUUGUUGCGGUUAAAACGCUCGUAGUUGGCUCUCUGUUCUGGACUGGCGGUUCACCUUAGCGGUGCUUACUGUACAGCUCCGAGCUAUAUCCCCGCCGGCUCGCCUGGGGUGCUCUUUACCGAGUGUCCCUCGUGGCCGGCACGUUUACUUUGAAAAAAUUAGAGUGCUCAGAGCAGGCUAUACUAACAGCCUGAAUGGUGGUGCAUGGAAUAAUGGAAUAGGACCUCGGUUCUAUUUUGUUGGUUUUCGGAACCCGAGGUAAUGAUUAAGAGAAGCAGACGGGGGCAUUCGUACUGCGACGAUAGAGGUGAAAUUCUUAGACCGUCGCAUGACGAGCUACUGCGAAAGCAUUUGCCAAGGAUGUUUUCAUUAAUCAAGAACGAAAGUUAGAGGUUCGAAGGCGAUCAGAUACCGCCCUAGUUCUAACCAUAAACGAUGCUGACUAGCGAUCCGCCGCAGUUAUUCCCAUGACCCGGCGGGGAGCUUCCGGGAAACCAAAGUAUUUGAGUUCCGGGGGAAGUAUGGUUGCAAAGCUGAAACUUAAAGGAAUUGACGGAAGGGCACCACCAGGAGUGGAGCCUGCGGCUCAAUUUGACUCAACACGGGGAAUCUUACCAGGCCCAGACACUGGAAGGAUUGACAGAUUGAAAGCUCUUUCUCGAUUCGGUGGGUGGUGGUGCAUGGCCGUUCUUAGUUGGUGGAGUGAUUUGUCUGGUUAAUUCCGAUAACGAACGAGACUCUAGCCUAUUAACUAGUCGACGGAUCUUACACUCCGUUGUUUUAUAUAUAUAAAUGAAAAUGGUGUCCAGCUCGCAGCUUCUUCUUAGAGGGAUAAGCGGCAGCAAAAAAAAUACUAGCCGCACGAGAGAUUGAGCCAUAACAGGUCUGUGAUGCCCUUAGAUGUUCUGGGCCGCACGCGCGCUACAAUGGAGAGUUCAGCAAGCUCUCCCUGCUCCGACAGGAGUGGGUAACCUUAUCAAAGCUGUCCUUAAAGGGGAUUGGGGCUUGCAAAUGUGUCCCAUGAACGAGGAAUUCCCAGUAGGCGCAAUUCACCAGAUUGCACCGAUUUAGUCCCUGCCCUUUGUACACACCGCCCGUCGCUACUACCGAUUGAAUGGUCUAGUGAGGGCAUCGGACUGGCGCUCUUGGAGUGGUCUCUCACCUCGCUAUGAAAUCCUCCUCGUGGGGACGAGAGGGGGGAGCCGCCUCGGGUCGACGGAAAGAUGUCCGAGCUGGGUCAUUUAGAGGAAGUAAAAGUCGUAACAAGGUUUCCGUAGGUGAACCUGCGGAAG